rnacentral:rRNA from 1 species
UCGCUGUGCCUCUGGUGCAGYGAAGUGUAGCGUAUAGGCUGUGAAUUUGUGGCAGCUGGUUUGUUCAAGUUUCCCUUGACUGGGRCUCCACAGAAGGUGCAAGACCUGUCCAACCAGCCGGCUGUCACAUCRUCGCAUGCYUUGGAGUCGGGUUGUUUGGGAUCGCAGCCCAAAUCAGGUGGUAAACUUCAUCUAAGGCUAAAUAUGACCACGAGAYCGAUAGCAAACAAGUACUGUGAAGGAAAGUUGCAAAGCACUUUGAAGAGAGAGUUAAAGAGGACGUGAAACCGGUGAGGUGGAAACGGAUAGAGUCAGCGUAUCCGACUUGUAUUCAGCUGCGYGGUGUAACGGCCUCCGGUGCUGGCGUCUCCAGAUUGGGAACAGUGCUGGUCGGCCGAGAGCUGUGCUGUGCAUUUGCAAGUGGAGUGCGUCGAGAYYCAUGUGGUGGCGUCACAAACUUUGUUUUGAGGCCAGYUUGCUGGUACCCGAACUGGGCUAGUGAUGUUCACGCAUAUGUGUGU